AUGAACGCUGGCGGCGUGCCUAAUACAUGCAAGUCGAGCGAACGGACGAGAAGCUUGCUUUUCUGAUGUUAGCGGCGGACGGGUGAGUAACACGUGGAUAACCUACCUAUAAUACUGGGAUAACUUCGGGAAACCGGAGCUAAUACCGGAUAAUAUUUUGAACCGCAUGGUUCAAAAGUGAAAGACGGUCUUGCUGUCACUUAUAGAUGGAUCCGCGCUGCAUUAGCUAGUUGGUAAGGUAACGGCUUACCAAGGCAACGAUGCAUAGCCGACCUGAGAGGGUGAUCGGCCACACUGGAACUGAGACACGGUCCAGACUCCUACGGGAGGCAGCAGUAGGGAAUCUUCCGCAAUGGGCGAAAGCCUGACGGAGCAACGCCGCGUGAGUGAUGAAGGUCUUCGGAUCGUAAAACUCUGUUAUUAGGGAAGAACAUAUGUGUAAGUAACUGUGCACAUCUUGACGGUACCUAAUCAGAAAGCCACGGCUAACUACGUG
rnacentral:rRNA from 1 species